UAUACGGUUGCGUUCGUAAAAACGAAUGAGGAAAGUCCGAGCAUCACAGAGCAGGAUAACGGCUAACGGCCGCCGUAGGUGACUACCGGGAUAGUGCAACAGAAAUAAACCGCCUGUUUUUCAGGUAAGGGUGGAAAGGUGGGGUAAGAGCCCACCGACACGGUGGUAACAUCGUGUGCCAUGUAAACCCUAUCCGAUGCAACAUUGACAAAAGGGCUAUGCAUUUGCUCGAUGCUACCUUUGAAAAAUGGCUGGAGGCAAUUGGUAACAAUUGUCCAAGAUAGAUAACCGUACACGACAGAACUCGGCUUAUAGAUUUACUCG
rnacentral:RNase_P_RNA from 1 species